ACAUACCCACAAACCCUCUGCAUGCUAACUCAUGCAUAUAGAGCACUCUUGUAUCAAACAACAACACCUCAUCACCUCCUACAUUUUACUAAGGUUUUAGUUGUUUCUCUUCAUAUUCCUCAAUGGAAGCCCCCAAAACCACCCAGCCUCCGCCGGGCUACCCAACAAAACAGGAGAAGAAACAGUGCUGCCAAAGUUCAAAGAGUAGAGGAGAGGGAGGGUUCAUUGAAGGAUGCAUUGCUGCCCUUUGCUGCUGUUGGAUUUUUGAGAUGUGCUGCUACUGAGGAGCCUAUAUGAAGAUGCAAUAUGUUAUGAGUUGAAUGAGGAUCAAAUAUAAUAGUGUACUAAGCAGGGAGUACUUCUAUUAUAAUGGCUUGUACUACUUAUCUUGAUUCAGAAGGGUAAGGUUAGAAUUGUAACACUUUAAUUUCGGAUGAUAUACUAGCAAUACUUAAUUGAUUUAUUUAUAA